ACACAGAAGCUCUUAUGGCUGAGCUUGAACGAAUAAAGAAGGAAAGAGCAGAGGAGAAGCUGCGACAGGAUCAACAACGGGCAGCUGAAGAGCUUAAAGCCAAGGAAGAGCAGCUUCUCCGAGGAAAUCCACUACUUAAUAAUCCAACAUCUUUUAAUGUGAAAAGGAGGUGGGAUGAUGAUGUGGUCUUUAAGAACCAGGCUCGAGGUGAAACCAAAACUCCUAAGCGCUUCAUCAAUGACACUAUCCGGAAUGACUUCCACCGAAAAUUCCUGCAGAAAUACAUGAAAUAGUUUGGUUGAUCUUUAAAAAAGUCACCAGGAUGUUGAAAGAUAAUUCUGGAUCUGAAUCACUGCAUGUAUCUAAGAGUAACAAUCAUCUCUGCUGGUUUUAAUUUGAUG
rnacentral:misc_RNA from 1 species